AUCACUCACACAGUCACUCUCUUUCCCUGGUGUUAAACAGGGGAGAGAAGGCUCCUCUUUUGUGAGGGAAAUGCAUGUACUUGUCAUCAAGGUAUUCAAGAAUAUAUCAGCAUGAUUGUACAAGUUGAGUACAAGAACUGUAAUCAAGAAUUACAUCAUUUGUACAAGCUAAACAUGGACAAACCUGGUCAGAAGAUGAGACAACUUCAAAAAGCACCAACCAAAUAGGUGCUGUAGGAAGGGAUGAGGAUGACUUCUUUAGAGUUGGUGCCCCAACAUGGUGUUGAUAGUCACUAGCAUUGGCAGUACAAAUUACAGAAUGAGAAUACAACUGACGCCCUGUCUGCUAUACAAGCCCCCACAAGCAGCUUUCUUUAAGAGUGUGAUUCUGAAAGGAAUAAUUCAAAAAUUUUACAUGUAAAUAAAAGUCCGAGGGUUAACAUUCAUUUUUUAACCUUAGUAUUGAGCUGGCAAACAGAACACUGCAAAUAAAUGUUAACGGAGUUCUGAAAAUCACAGGAAUGCUAAUAUUGGAUCUAAUGUCCAACCGAUGUGAAAGAAUGUUAUUGCAUGCACAUAGUUUCUACUGGUAUAAAUUCCAUUUUCAGUGAUGGGAGAAAAGUGUGAUUCUGAAUGGGAAUGACUCCAGUCUGCUGAAACAAAGCUGGAAAGGGGUGAAAUCAUUGUUUCUCCCUCUGUACCUAUAAGGUGGCUAAGUGGUUAUGUGAGAUCGCAGGUGUUCUAAUGAUUCCAGAUGACUGCUGGGGUCCUCAUGUGUAGAGUCAGUUGCAAGAU